rnacentral:rRNA from 1 species
UACGGGGGGGGCAAGCGUUGUUCGGAAUUAUUGGGCGUAAAGAGCUCGUAGGCGGUUUGUUGCGUCGGCUGUGAAAUCCCGAGGCUCAACCUCGGGUCUGCAGUCGAUACGAGCAAACUAGAGUGUUGCAGGGGAGACUGGAAUUCCUGGUGUAGCGGUGAAAUGCGCAGAUAUCAGGAGGAACACCGGUGGCGAAGGCGGGUCUCUGGGCCGAUACUGACGCUGAGGAGCGAAAGCGUGGGGAGCGAACAGG